rnacentral:rRNA from 1 species
GACAGAGGUGCCGAGCGUUAGGCGGAAUCACUGGGCUUAAAGCGUGUGUAGGCGGAUUCCUAAGUACCUUGUGAAAUCCCAUGGCUCAACCAUGGAACUGCUUGGUAUACUGGGUGUCUUGAGCCAACUAGGGGCUACCGGAACAAAUGGUGGAGCGGGUGAAAAUGCGUAGAUAUCAUUUGGAACGCCAAUGGUGAAAACAGGUAGCUGGGGUUGUGCUGACGCUGAGACACGAAAGCCAGGGGAGCGAAACGGGG